rnacentral:rRNA from 1 species
GACCCCGCACAAGCGGCGGAGCAUGCGGCUUAAUUCGAUGCAACGCGAAGAACCUUACCAGGGUUUGACAUCCUGCGAAUCUCUUGGAAACAGGAGAGUGCCUUCGGGAACGCAGUGACAGGUGGUGCAUGGCUGUCGUCAGCUCGUGUCGUGAGAUGUUGGGUUAAGUCCCGCAACGAGCGCAACCCACGUCUUUAGUUGCCAGCAUUUAGUUGGGCACUCUAGAGAGGACUGCCGGUGAUAAACCGGAGGAAGGUGUGGAUGACGUCAAGUCAUCAUGCCCCUUACAUCCUGGGCUACACACGUACUACAAUGCUACGGACAAAGGGCAGCAAGUUCGCGAGGACAAGCAAAUCCCAUAAACCGUGGCUCAGUUCAGAUCGUAGGCUGCAACUCGCCUACGUGAAGGAGGAAUCGCUAGUAAUCGCAGGUC